rnacentral:rRNA from 1 species
UCACCUUUCCUUGCCUAGUCCGCCUAUAUACCGCCGUCGCCAGCUUACUCUGUGAAGAGUCUGUAGUAAGCACAAUCGGUACUACCCAAAACGUCAGGUCGAGGUGUAGCGUAUGGAAAGGGAAGAAAUGGGCUACAUUCAAUAAUAAUAAUGAAUACGAAUAAUAUCUUGAAACAGAUAAUUGAAGGAGGAUUUAGUAGUAAGCAGGGAAUAGAGCGCCCUGCUGAAACCGGCCCUGAAGCGCGCACACACCGCCCGUCACUCUCCCCAAGCUAAGACAAACUAAUUACUAAUAAAUAACAACUGUAAAGGGGAGGCAAGUCGUAACAUGGUAAGCGUACCGGAAGGUGCGCUUGGAAAAA